ACACAUGGCAGUACAGCCAGCAUUUCGUUUGGUUUUUAACGGACGAGUGACUAGAGGUGAGCAUGGGCUGGGCCAGGUCGGGCUCAAUCAAAAAUACAGGCCUGUUUAUUAGGCUCGGCGCUUUUUUAAACGGGCCAAAAAUACCUUAUCUAAGGCUCAACCCAUUUUUAAACGGGCCUUAUUUUUUUUGUUCAAGCCUAUUUUUCAGACUUAUUUUUUUGCCCAAACCCUCCUACAUUUUGAGUGGGCUUUCGGGCCAGGCCGGGUGGCUCGACCCAUGAUCAGCUCUAGGAGUGACCAAAACAGGAACACUUCAAUUUUAGAGUGAUUAUAUGGGUAGUUUACCCUACAAUAUAU
rnacentral:lncRNA from 1 species